UUUUUCAUUUCAUUCCUCAUGACUUUUUCCCAGCCCUCAAAUUCAGACAUAUUUCAAGGUAGAAACAUUAAUGACCUCAUGGCAGAGGCUGCAGAAAAUAUGGAGAAGGCACACUAAUUCCUUGACCUACCUGAGAUCCAUUUUUGGAUUCUUGUUCCUUGACAUCACUUAGAUCAUCACACAAAGUCUGUUACUACUUUCACUGGUCUUAGUUUAUAGAUUAUAAGGAACUUUCCA